rnacentral:rRNA from 1 species
CCUACGGGAGGCAGCAGUCGAGAAUCAUUCACAAUGGGGGAAACCCUGAUGGUGCGACGCCGCGUGGGGGAAUGAAGGUCUUCGGAUUGUAAACCCCUGUCAUGUGGGAGCAAAUUAAAAAGAUAGUACCACAAGAGGAAGAGACGGCUAACUCUGUUCCAGCAGCCGCGGUAAUACAGAGGUCUCAAGCGUUGUUCGGAAUCACUGGGCGUAAAGCGUGCGUAGGCUGUUUCGUAGGUCGUGUGUGAAAGGCGCGGGCUCAACCCGCGGACGGCACAUGAUACUGCGAGACUAGAGUAAGGGAGGGGGAACCGGAAUUCUCGGUGUAGCAGUGAAAUGCGUAGAUAUCGAGAGGAACACUCGUGGCGAAGGCGGGUUCCUGGACAUUAACUGACGCUGAGGCACGAAGGCCAGGGGAGCGAAAGGGAUUAGAUACCCUAGUAGUC